rnacentral:lncRNA from 1 species
ACGUAAAUGAGGCAGUUGGGAACUGUCCUGCAUCGUUUCACUAUGGCGGAGACACCGCGAAGAUACUAUUGAUGAUAAUAAAUAGUAGUAGAUUGUGAUUUUUUAAAAGACUACUUUCACAUACAAUGUGGUUAGUAUAUGUAUGGAUGGUAUCGAUGGGCAGUGGUAACAAGUUUAGUAUUUUUAACGAUAUUGAUAUCCAAAAUGUACUUGACUAUCUAACCUUAUUUCUCAAAAAUAGUCUGAAGAACACAAUAUUGAGGCAGCAGUGAGGAACCUGUUGAGCUGCAUCAGGAGCGAGAGGGCCUCACCAGCACCUCCUGCUAGGGCCUCACCAGCACCUCCUGCUAUGGCCUCACCAGCACCUCCUGCUUGGGCCUCACCAGCACCUCCUGCUAGGGCCUCACCAGCACCUCCUGCUAGGGCCUCACCAGCACCUCCUGCUUGGGCCUCACCAGCACCUCCUGCUAUGGCCUCACCAGCACCUCCUGCUUGGGCCUCACCAGCACCUCCUGCUGCCCCACUGGUUCCUCAAGGUGUUCGGCAGACAUCCCAGAUGGCCUUGCAGAGAAACUUCCCAGCCGCCUUUGGUUGUGGCGGGAAAAGGAAGCGUAAAACAGCUCACCAGCUCACCCCGCCACCAUUAUUUGUCAAAUAUGUGGAGCUGCAAUUUUGCCUCUUGGAAGGCAACAACAAACAUGCACCAAAGGAUGAAUUCGUCCUCCUACAGGCAGGUCUUGGCAGGAGGACAGUAAACAUCAGUGAAAAUGCCAACCAUGAAGAUGUAAGCUUUUAGUAACUAUGAAUAUCAUUGACGUUUUUAUUGGUCUAUCUAUCUAGAUUCCAUACCAUUGUAUCCUAUCUUUGGUGUGAUUUCAUAACACUGUCUAUGUCUACAUGACCAACUUCUAUAGAUAAACAGAGCUCUCCAGGAGGAAUACCCCAAAAUGAGGGGACUAAGUGGAGGGUGGCUUUUUAAAAAGUCUGCAGGUGAGAUGAUAAUUUAAUAACUAUGUAAUUACCUACUGCUUAUUAUAGGGCUCUUCUACUAUACUGGCUCCUCUAAUACUAGUAGAUGGUGGUCACCCUACCCAUCAUUGAACCUGAGUUUCAAGUGUACCAAACAUGACACUUGAUCACAAUGCCAGGGACAGUAUGGUAGACAGACUUCAUACUCAACUCUAGUGACGAGGCACUCCAUACAAGUGGACACUUCCAGUCUUUCUACAUUCUAAUAUAUAUCCAUUUAUGUACUACUUUCACUGGCAAGGGUUCUGAUUCACAAUGCUUCUGAUUCACAUCUUUCAUAUCG